AGUGAACGCUGGCGGUAGGCCUAACACAUGCAAGUCGAACGGCAGCACAGUAAGAGCUUGCGCUUACGGGUGGCGAGUGGCGGACGGGUCAGGAAUACAUCGGAAUCUACUUUUUCGUGGGGGAUAACGUAGGGAAACUUACGCUAAUACCGCAUGCGACCUACGGGUGAAAGCAGGGGAUCUUCGGACCUUGCGCGAUUGAAUGAGCCGAUGUCGGAUUAGCUAGUUGGCGGGGUAAAGGCCCACCAAGGCGACGAUCCGUAGCUGGUCUGAGAGGAUGAUCAGCCACACUGGAACUGAGACACGGUCCAGACUCCUACGGGAGGCAGCAGUGGGGAAUAUUGGACAAUGGGCGCAAGCCUGAUCCAGCCAUACCGCGUGGGUGAAGAAGGCCUUCGGGUUGUAAAGCCCUUUUGUUGGGAAAGAAAAGCAGCAGGUUAAUACCCCGCUGUUCUGACGUUACCCAAAGAAUAAGCACCGGCUAACUUCGUG
rnacentral:rRNA from 1 species